rnacentral:lncRNA from 1 species
GGAGGAGAGAGUGGCCUGGGCGGUUUAGGCGGCUGUCAGCAGGUGUCCUCAAACAGACUCAUGCUAACUCCGCAGGCCUGCAAGCACAGACUGGGUGGACUGUGGCCCUUUCCGGCUCUGUUGAAUACGGCCAUCCCAGGAAGAGCAGCUCCGCAAGGAAGAGGUUGAUGCACAGAUUCUUGUGGAUGGUGUUGCGGUCAGUCUGCAAGCCCCGCAGGAAGCAGAAGGUGGAGAUGCAGAUAGCCAGACAGACCAGGGAGAUGACAAUACCAACCCAGAGUGCCUUGGGGCCGGAGGGAGCCAGAUGCAAGGCCUCAUGCCCCAGAAUGCCAUGCAAAGCCAGGCCAGCACCAAGCAAGCCCACCCGGACAGCAGAGCACCAGCCAGCUUACGAUCUCUCGCUACAGGGAACAGUGACAAGCUUGAAGGAAAUGUUUGGGGACCCUGAGGUGACCACCAGCUUUAUGGUCCAAGCUGAAGCUCGCUCUCAGUAAAG